rnacentral:rRNA from 1 species
AUUACCGCGGCUGCUGGCUGCUGUCUCCCGUAGGGCCUAUUACCGCGGCUGCUGGCACAGAGUUAGCCGGUGCUUAUUCUGUCGGUAACGUCAAAACAGCAAGGUAUUAGCUUACUGCCCUUCCUCCCAACUUAAAGUGCUUUACAAUCCGAAGACCUUCUUCACACACGCGGCAUGGCUGGAUCAGGCUUUCGCCCAUUGUCCAAUAUUCCCCGCUGCUGCCUCCCGUAG